rnacentral:rRNA from 1 species
AACGUAGGACACGAGCGUUAUCCGGAGUUACUGGGCGUAAAGGGCGUGCAGGCGGUCGACUAAGUCUGGCGUGAAAGCUCUCGGCUAAACCGGGAGAGGUCGUUGGAUACUGGUUGACUAGAGGACGGUAGAGGCGUGUGGAAUUCCGGGUGUAGUGGUGAAAUGCGUAGAGAUCCGGAGGAACACCAGUGGCGAAGGCGACACGCUGGGCCGUACCUGACGCUGAUACGCGACAGCAUGGGGAGCGAACGGG